rnacentral:rRNA from 1 species
GAUGAACGCUGGCGGCGGGCCUAACACAUGCAAGUCGAACGAUUAAAGCACCUUCGGGUGUGUAUACAGCGGCGAACGGCUGAGUAACACGUAGGCAACUUGCUGCUCGCAUUGGGUUAGCUACGGGAAACGGUGGAUAAUACCGAAAACUUCGGGGCGUCCGCAUGGAAGAUCCUCGAAAGCCCCGGCGGAGGGAGAUGGGAGGUCGGCCUGUCUGCUUGUUGGGGGAGUAAUGGCCUACCAAGGCAAUGCUGGGUUGCUCGGUGGAGAGGCUGACCAACCAGCUUGGGACUGAGACACGGACCAGACUCCUACGGGAGGCAGCAGUGGGGAGUCUUGCACAAUGGGCGCAAGCCUGAUGCAGCGGCGCCGCGUGCGGGAUGAAGGCCUUCGGGUUGUAAACCGCUUUCAGCAGGGACGAGGCGAAAGUGACGGUACCUGCAGAAGAAGCCCCGGCUAACUACGUG